UACGGGAGGCAGCAGUGGGGAAUUUUGGACAAUGGGGGCAACCCUGAUCCAGCCAUGCCGCGUGCGGGAAGAAGGCCUUCGGGUUGUAAACCGCUUUUGUUCGGGAAGAAAUCCUUUGGGCUAAUACCCCGGAGGGAUGACGGUACCGGAAGAAUAAGCACCGGCUAACUACGUGCCAGCAGCCGCGGUAAUACGUAGGGUGCGAGCGUUUAUCGGAAUUACUGGGCGUAAAGCGUGCGCAGGCGGUUGUGCAAGACAGAUGUGAAAUCCCCGGGCUUAACCUGGGAACUGCAUUUGUGACUGCACGGCUAGAGUGCGGCAGAGGGGGAUGGAAUUCCGCGUGUAGCAGUGAAAUGCGUAGAUAUGCGGAGGAACACCGAUGGCGAAGGCAGUCCCCUGGGCCUGUACUGACGCUCAUGCACGAAAGCGUGGGGAGCAAACAGGAUUAGAUACCCUGGUAGUCCACGCCCUAAACGAUGUCAACUGGUUGUUGGGAAGGUUUCUUCUCAGUAACGUAGCUAACGCGUGAAGUG
rnacentral:rRNA from 1 species